CCCUUUGUGGUGUAGUUGGUAUCACACCUGGCUGUAAUGUUCAGAUCGCUAGUUGGUCACCAGUUUGACUCUGGUCGAAGGGA
rnacentral:tRNA from 1 species